AGAACUGUAGGGGCUGAAAUUCUACGAAGACUCAGAAAUCAUGGUUAUUCCUCUCCGGAGAAUGACACCUGGGUAUAUAAGGUUGCUGCAGACUCAAGCUGCAGCAAAGAUCGUUAUCAACCCGUCAAACACAGCGCUGCAGCGGGCGGCAUUGCUCCUGGGAGUGUUUGGGAUCAGCAUAUCCAGCUACAGCACACACCAGCUAACUCAAACAAAAAGAUUCCCCUUGACCACUUAGGCUGUGGUAGGAUCUGUGACCCAAGAAAUCCAGGCUUAUGGCAAUACUGCCUGACUCCCUGCUGAUGAGUGGCUUUGCUGCCGCUGUUACCCUGUGGAGGUAAUGAGACACUUUGCAGCUGUGAUUUCUACAUGCAAAGUUAAAUAGAUGGAAGGACUGCAGACUUCAUCAAGAAAGAAAAAAAAUAACUGCUAUCAAAAGCAUUGGAUUUCCAAACAAGACAAACUUUCUGUAAAUGUUAUGGAUUUCUUUUGUUAUUCAGUGUAUACAUAGAGAUCUAAAGGUAUAAAAUACAGUUACAUUCAGAGUAGCUGUAAAGAGACCAGUGUGGCUGCUGGGCUCUGGGGGUGUCACUGCGUUGCAGCUUUUGCAGAUGACUCCAAUGCAAAGACUGUUUUUGCAAAGAAGAAGUUAGAAGCAAUAUAUUCCUCAUGACAAGGGUUAGAACAAAAGGAAUUAAUCUCCCAUAGAUUCUUUGCACUGUACAUUUGGGUAUUACAGAAUUUGUGCACUCUAGCUUUUUCUAUUGAAUCUUAAACAUUUCUUGAUGCCUUUUGAGUAGCAAUGUUUGUGUAUUGCAACACAAGCUGGUAGCCUUCUGUCACAGCAGAGAUGGCCACAGGCUACACCAGCCAUAUGGUGCUGGGAAGGCCCCAUGGCUCCAGACCAGAUAACUUCAUAGCUGGGCAGAAACUAAAAAGUAUCAGUAAAGUUCUAGAAAGUAUCGGUAAAAACACUGAGUUGGGUUCCAUUGCAGCGUUCAAUAUCUGGCUGUAUUUUUCUGCAAAGUCAACUCAUCUCAUAAUAUAUAUUCUGAUUAAAAUACAAAUAGAGUUUGACCUUUUUACCCUACUUCUCCCUUGUUUUCUUCUCAUUGGGUACAAUAGCUUAUUCAGGAAAGUUCUCUUACUAUUGGCUUGUACUUUUCCAACUGUUUCUUAUGUUUUAUGUAAACAUGGCUUUGUAGGCUCUUCUGUGCAUAUGUUAGCAUUUAACAUCCUUUGUUCUUGGUUACUAAAUACAAAUAUUAUUUUGGG